rfam:Gorilla gorilla gorilla genomic chromosome, chr19, whole genome shotgun sequence
GCCAGGUGUGGUGGCUCACGCCUGUAAUCCCAGCACUUUGGGAGGCUGAGGCUGGUGGAUCACCUGAGGUCAGGAGUUCGAGAGGAGCCUGACCAACAUGGUGGAACCCUGCCUUUA